UUAAGCGACUAAGCGUACACGGUGGAUGCCCUGGCAGUCAGAGGCGAUGAAGGACGUGCUAAUCUGCGAUAAGCGUCGGUAAGGUGAUAUGAACCGUUAUAACCGGCGAUUUCCGAAUGGGGAAACCCAGUGUGAUUCGUCACACUAUCAUUAACUGAAUCCAUAGGUUAAUGAGGCGAACCGGGGGAACUGAAACAUCUAAGUACCCCGAGGAAAAGAAAUCAACCGAGAUUCCCCCAGUAGCGGCGAGCGAACGGGGAGCAGCCCAGAGCCUGAAUCAGUGUGUGUGUUAGUGGAAGCGUCUGGAAAGGCGUGCGAUACAGGGUGACAGCCCCGUACACAAAAAUGCACAUGCUGUGAGCUCGAUGAGUAGGGCGGGACACGUGGUAUCCUGUCUGAAUAUGGGGGGACCAUCCUCCAAGGCUAAAUACUCCUGACUGACCGAUAGUGAACCAGUACCGUGAGGGAAAGGCGAAAAGAACCCCGGCGAGGGGAGUGAAAAAGAACCUGAAACCGUGUACGUACAAGCAGUGGGAGCCUCUUUAUGGGGUGACUGCGUACCUUUUGUAUAAUGGGUCAGCGACUUAUAUUCUGUAGCAAGGUUAACCGAAUAGGGGAGCCGAAGGGAAACCGAGUCUUAACUGGGCGUUAAGUUGCAGGGUAUAGACCCGAAACCCGGUGAUCUAGCCAUGGGCAGGUUGAAGGUUGGGUAACACUAACUGGAGGACCGAACCGACUAAUGUUGAAAAAUUAGCGGAUGACUUGUGGCUGGGGGUGAAAGGCCAAUCAAACCGGGAGAUAGCUGGUUCUCCCCGAAAGCUAUUUAGGUAGCGCCUCGUGAAUUCAUCUCCGGGGGUAGAGCACUGUUUCGGCAAGGGGGUCAUCCCGACUUACCAACCCGAUGCAAACUGCGAAUACCGGAGAAUGUUAUCACGGGAGACACACGGCGGGUGCUAACGUCCGUCGUGAAGAGGGAAACAACCCAGACCGCCAGCUAAGGUCCCAAAGUCAUGGUUAAGUGGGAAACGAUGUGGGAAGGCCCAGACAGCCAGGAUGUUGGCUUAGAAGCAGCCAUCAUUUAAAGAAAGCGUAAUAGCUCACUGGUCGAGUCGGCCUGCGCGGAAGAUGUAACGGGGCUAAACCAUGCACCGAAGCUGCGGCAGCGACACUAUGUGUUGUUGGGUAGGGGAGCGUUCUGUAAGCCGUUGAAGGUGGCCUGUGAGGGUUGCUGGAGGUAUCAGAAGUGCGAAUGCUGACAUAAGUAACGAUAAAGCGGGUGAAAAGCCCGCUCGCCGGAAGACCAAGGGUUCCUGUCCAACGUUAAUCGGGGCAGGGUGAGUCGACCCCUAAGGCGAGGCCGAAAGGCGUAGUCGAUGGGAAACAGGUUAAUAUUCCUGUACUUGGUGUUACUGCGAAGGGGGGACGGAGAAGGCUAUGUUGGCCGGGCGACGGUUGUCCCGGUUUAAGCGUGUAGGCUGAUUUUCCAGGCAAAUCCGGAGAAUCAAGGCUGAGGCGUGAUGACGAGGCACUACGGUGCUGAAGCAACAAAUGCCCUGCUUCCAGGAAAAGCCUCUAAGCAUCAGGUAACAUCAAAUCGUACCCCAAACCGACACAGGUGGUCAGGUAGAGAAUACCAAGGCGCUUGAGAGAACUCGGGUGAAGGAACUAGGCAAAAUGGUGCCGUAACUUCGGGAGAAGGCACGCUGAUGGUAGGUGAAGCGACUUGCUCGUGGAGCUGAAAUCAGUCGAAGAUACCAGCUGGCUGCAACUGUUUAUUAAAAACACAGCACUGUGCAAACACGAAAGUGGACGUAUACGGUGUGACGCCUGCCCGGUGCCGGAAGGUUAAUUGAUGGGGUCAGCCGCAAGGCGAAGCUCUUGAUCGAAGCCCCGGUAAACGGCGGCCGUAACUAUAACGGUCCUAAGGUAGCGAAAUUCCUUGUCGGGUAAGUUCCGACCUGCACGAAUGGCGUAAUGAUGGCCAGGCUGUCUCCACCCGAGACUCAGUGAAAUUGAACUCGCUGUGAAGAUGCAGUGUACCCGCGGCAAGACGGAAAGACCCCGUGAACCUUUACUAUAGCUUGACACUGAACAUUGAGCCUUGAUGUGUAGGAUAGGUGGGAGGCUUUGAAGUGUGGACGCCAGUCUGCAUGGAGCCGACCUUGAAAUACCACCCUUUAAUGUUUGAUGUUCUAACGUGGACCCGUGAUCCGGGUUGCGGACAGUGUCUGGUGGGUAGUUUGACUGGGGCGGUCUCCUCCUAAAGAGUAACGGAGGAGCACGAAGGUUGGCUAAUCCUGGUCGGACAUCAGGAGGUUAGUGCAAUGGCAUAAGCCAGCUUGACUGCGAGCGUGACGGCGCGAGCAGGUGCGAAAGCAGGUCAUAGUGAUCCGGUGGUUCUGAAUGGAAGGGCCAUCGCUCAACGGAUAAAAGGUACUCCGGGGAUAACAGGCUGAUACCGCCCAAGAGUUCAUAUCGACGGCGGUGUUUGGCACCUCGAUGUCGGCUCAUCACAUCCUGGGGCUGAAGUAGGUCCCAAGGGUAUGGCUGUUCGCCAUUUAAAGUGGUACGCGAGCUGGGUUUAGAACGUCGUGAGACAGUUCGGUCCCUAUCUGCCGUGGGCGCUGGAGAACUGAGGGGGGCUGCUCCUAGUACGAGAGGACCGGAGUGGACGCAUCACUGGUGUUCGGGUUGUCAUGCCAAUGGCACUGCCCGGUAGCUAAAUGCGGAAGAGAUAAGUGCUGAAAGCAUCUAAGCACGAAACUUGCCCCGAGAUGAGUUCUCCCUGAGACUUUAAGUCUCCUGAAGGAACGUUGAAGACGACGACGUUGAUAGGCCGGGUGUGUAAGCGCAGCGAUGCGUUGAGCUAACCGGUACUAAUGAACCGUGAGGCUUAACCUU
rnacentral:rRNA from 1 species